UGGGGAAUUUUGGACAAUGGGCGCAAGCCUGAUCCAGCAAUGCCGCGUGCAGGAUGAAGGCCUUCGGGUUGUAAACUGCUUUUGUACGGAACGAAAAGCCUCUCUCUAAUACAGGGGGGUGAUGACGGUACCGUAAGAAUAGGCACCGGCUAACUACGUGCCAGCAGCCGCGGUAAUACGUAGGGUGCAAGCGUUAAUCGGAAUUACUGGGCGUAAAGCGUGCGCAGGCGGUUUUGUAAGACAGUGGUGAAAUCCCCGGGCUAACCUGGGAACUGCCAUUGUGACUGCAAGGCUGGAGUGCGGCAGAGGGGGAUGGAAUUCCGCGUGUAGCAGUGAAAUGCGUAGAUAUGCGGAGGAACACCGAUGGCGAAGGCAAUCCCCCUGGGCCUGCANUGACGCUCAUGCACGAAAGCGUGGGGAGC
rnacentral:rRNA from 1 species